rnacentral:misc_RNA from 1 species
GAUGAAGAACGCAGUGAAAUGCGAUACGUAAUGUGAAUUGCAGAAUUCAGUGAAUCAUCGAAUCUUUGAACGCACAUUGCGCCCGCCAGCACUCUGGCGGGCAUGCCUGUUCGAGCGUCAUUUCAACCAUCAAGCCCCAGGCUUGCGUUGGAGCCGUGCGGCUGCCGCAGCCUCCUAAAAGCAGUGGCGGGCUCGCUAUCACACCGAGUGCAGUAGAUUACUCUUCGCUCAGGGCGUGCAGCGGGUUCCGGCCGUGAAACCCCCUACUUUUAAAGGUUGACCUCGGAUCAGGUAGGAAUACCCGCUGAACUUAAGCAUAUCAAUAAGCGGAGGA